GGAGAGGUGCCGGAGUGGUCGAACGGGCCUGACUCGAAAUCAGGUAUUCCGCGAUGAGCGGAAUCGGGGGUUCGAAUCCCCCCCUCUCCG
rnacentral:tRNA from 1 species